CCGCAUGGUUUUACUUUGAAAGGCGCUUUUGCGUCACUGAUGGAUGGACCCGCGGUGCAUUAGCUAGUUGGUGAGGUAACGGCUCACCAAGGCGACGAUGCGUAGCCGACCUGAGAGGGUGAUCGGCCACAUUGGGACUGAGACACGGCCCAAACUCCUACGGGAGGCAGCAGUAGGGAAUCUUCGGCAAUGGACGAAAGUCUGACCGAGCAACGCCGCGUGAGUGAAGAAGGUUUUCGGAUCGUAAAACUCUGUUGUUAGAGAAGAACAAGGAUGAGAGUAAAAAGUUCAUCCCUUGACGGUAUCUAACCAGAAAGCCACGGCUAACUACGUGCCAGCAGCCGCGGUAAUACGUAGGUGGCAAGCGUUGUCCGGAUUUAUUGGGCGUAAAGCGAGCGCAGGCGGUUUCUUAAGUCUGAUGUGAAAGCCCCCGGCUCAACCGGGGAGGGUCAUUGGAAACUGGGAGACUUGAGUGCAGAAGAGGAGAGUGGAAUUCCAUGUGUAGCGGUGAAAUGCGUAGAUAUAUGGAGGAACACCAGUGGCGAAGGCGGCUCUCUGGUCUGUA
rnacentral:rRNA from 1 species